rnacentral:rRNA from 1 species
GUGGGGAAUAUUCCGCAAUGGACGAAAGUCUGACGGAGCAACGCCGCGUGAGUGAUGAAGGUUUUCGGACUGUAAAGCUCUGUUGUUUAGGACGAAAGUGCCUGUUGCAAAUAGUUACAGGUAUUGACGGUACUGAACGAGGAAGCCACGGCUAACUACGUGCCAGCAGCCGCGGUAAUACGUAGGUGGCAAGCGUUGUCCGGAAUUAUUGGGCGUAAAGAGCAUGUAGGCGGGAAUCUAAGUCUGUUGUGAAAAUGCGGGGCUCAACCCCGUAUUGCGAUGGAAACUGGGUUUCUUGAGUGCAGGGGAGGAAAGGGGAAUUCCCAGUGUAGCGGUGAAAUGCGUAGAUAUUGGGAGGAACACCAGUGGCGAAGGCGGCUUUCUGGACGGUGUCUGACACUGAGGCGCGAAAGCCAGGGGAGCGAACGGGAUUAGAUACCCGUGUAGUCC